rnacentral:rRNA from 1 species
CAGUAGCCGCGGUAAUACGUAGGUGGCAAGCGUUGUCCGGAAUUAUUGGGCGUAAAGCGCGCGCAGGCGGAUAGGUCAGUCUGUCUUAAAAGUUCGGGGCUUAACCCCGUGAUGGGAUGGAAACUGCCAAUCUAGAGUAUCGGAGAGGAAAGUGGAAUUCCUAGUGUAGCGGUGAAAUGCGUAGAUAUUAGGAAGAACACCAGUGGCGAAGGCGACUUUCUGGACGAAAACUGACGCUGAGGCGCGAAAGCCAGGGGAGCGAACGGGAUUAGAUACCCCUGUAGUCCCUGUCUCUUAUACA